rnacentral:rRNA from 1 species
AGUGAACGCUGGCGGUAGGCCUAACACAUGCAAGUCGAACGGCAGCACAGUAAGAGCUUGCUCUUACGGGUGGCGAGUGGCGGACGGGUGAGGAAUACAUCGGAAUCUACUUUUUCGUGGGGGAUAACGUAGGGAAACUUACGCUAAUACCGCAUACGGCCUACGGGUGAAAGCAGGGGAUCUUCGGACCUUUCGCGAUUGAAUGAGCCGAUGUCGGAUUAGCUAGUUGGCGGGGUAAAGGCCCACCAAGGCGACGAUCCGUAGCUGGUCUGAGAGGAUGAUCAGCCACACUGGAACUGAGACACGGUCCAGACUCCUACGGGAGGCAGCAGUGGGGAAUAUUGGACAAUGGGCGCAAGCCUGAUCCAGCCAUACCGCGUGGGUGAAGAAGGCCUUCGGGUUGUAAAGCCCUUUUGUUGGGAAAGAAAAGCAGCAGGUUAAUACCCCGCUGUUCUGACGGUACCCAAAGAAUAAGCACCGGCUAACUUCGCG